rnacentral:lncRNA from 10 species
UUAUUUAUUGCCCUCUUCAGAGAGUAGAUGUAGAAAAUAAAGAGAGGAAACCUAGAUUACUUAAUUUUAUUUUAACAUUUUCUAUAGAUAGCAUACCACGCCAAGUGUGCUCUGUCUUGAUCCCCUUCUUUCUAGCAUCUGCCAGACAUUGUAGAGUUUCGCAAGCAGUUGUAGGUUUGAGCUGCAGCCAGUCAUUUCUUUUAUUCUUUAAAAGUACAUAGAUUUGUCUUUUUAGGGCUUUACUGAAAGUAAAAUAUCCUGACAUUUAAACUGACAGAUGUAGGAGGUAAAAAAUAGAGUUCUGAAACAUUUGAAUUUAUGUGACAGCUGAAGUCACGAGAUGAGGGAUAUAUGUCCCCCAGGGAGGAUGCAGAAAGAAGAAAAGGGUACUGGAAACAGCAUGUCAGUGGUGCCAGCUGAGGGCUGGAGGCAGCCAGGAGAGUUGGGAGCCUGGGUGCUGGGUGGAGAGAGGUUAACAGGGAAGACAUGGGAAGUAUUGUGAAGGCUGGUGUGAGCAGGGGACUACUCCAGCCCUGUUGGAACAUAGAGCCAUUUGGCAGAUUGACAAUGCAGUGACAGCUGUAUAUAAUAAAUGUGUUGAAAGGAGGAAGGUGAGGAUUUUCUUGGUGGGAGUUUAUGCUGUUAUUUAACAUAUUUUGCUUCCAAAGGGGUUAAGAUGUUUUACCUAAAUGGAGGUUUCUAGGUCAGUGCUAUACAAUAUUUCUAAUCUGUGUUUUAUAGUGUGAGCUACAUAUGUAAUUUUAAAAUUUUCAAGUAGCCACAUAAUAAAGGAAACAGGUGAAAUUUAAUGACAUAUUUCCUUUAAUACGGUAUAUCCAAAAUAUUAUUAUGUCAACCUAUAAUCAGUAUAAAAACCUGUUACUGAAAUAUUUUAUAGGGCCCAUCUCAGUUCAGACUAGCCACAUUUAAGUGCUUCAUAGCCACAUGUGGCUCAUGGCCAUCCAUAUUUGGACAAUGUACUUUAGACUAUUGCAUCUGUAUACUCUUGUGCCGUCAGCUGGGGGGUGGGGUGUGUGUGCGUGUAUACCAAGGCAGUGAGCAUCUGAGCUUUGAACCUCAAAGACCAAAAUGCCCUGCCCAUUUUCCUGCUUAUCAGCUGAGGAAUCUUUACCCACAUUGACACAUGGGCUUGUUCUGACCCAAGUGCAUGCAGGCUUCCAGAGCAGAUUCAGAGGCCUAACUUAGUCCUUUAGCUUUCCUCCCAGCACAGAACUCCCAAGGUUAUCUGCAAGUAGGCCUUGCCUAGAGAGACUGAGUUUUCAAGUUGUCAGUUUUCCCAAAUUGUCCUCAAGCAUCUUCCUCUGGAAUCACCUUACUGUUUAGUAAACAUUCAGAGGACUUGCUACACAUCUGGGCAGUCUGCAUUGUAAUUCAUAUGUGUUUACACAUUUGUGUCUUCAUCUGCUAAAGCACCUUUGAACCAUAUUGUAAUUCAUAAUAUCUGAAGCAAUUAUUAUGAAUUGUAGUAAUUCAUAAUAUUGAAGCGAUUCAUAAUAUCUGAAGCAAUCCCCAGAUACGGGUUAGGCAUGGCCCUGCUCUGAGCAGGAUGGCAAAAGUGGCAGUCCGUGACGCAGCCCUUGUUACCCCAGGCUAUUACUAAAUGGUGGUGGUGGUUUUAUCUUAAUUAAAAUGACAUCACCAACAAUGGGCCCUUUCCUGUCUGCCAGGAAAAGUUUUCUGUAGUGACGCACGUGUUGUGUGUGUAUGUGUGCGUUUGAGGCUAUAUUACUCAUUGCUACGGCAGUUCAAAAUGACUUGGAAAAAAACAAUGAACGCUGGUCAUUGAUAUGUAUACUGACAUGUUUGAGGGAAGUUACUGUGGUCUGUAACUUAUGAAAUACAUAAAAAAUAUGAUGGGUGGAGUGACGGACACAUGGACAGAUAUGAAGCAAGCACUGUAAAAUAUUAGUGGUAGUUUUUGUAUGCCCAUACUCACGGCACCAUUAUUCACAGUAGCUAAGAGAUGGAAGCAAUAUGUGCCCAUCAGUGGGUGAAUGAUCAACAAAAUGUGGUAUAUUCAUACAGUGGAAUAUUAUUCAGCCUCUAAAAGGAAGAUACGCUGACAUGUGCUGCAACAUGGAUGAAUCUUGAGGACAUGAUGCUAAGUGAAGUAAGCCAGUCACUGGAAGACAAAUACUCUAUGCUUCCAUUUAUGUGAAGUAUCUAGAGCAGUCAAAUGCAUAGAAACAAGUAGAAUGGUAGUUGCCAAGGACUGGGGGAGGAGGAAAUGAGGAGUUGUUUAAUGGGUAUAGUGUUUCAGUUUUGCAAGAUAAAAAGUCCUGUGGAUUGGUUGCACAGUUAAGUUAUGUGAAUGCUGUAUGCCAACUCAACUGUACACUCUAAAAUGGUUAAGAUGGUAAAUCUUAUCUUUAUUUUACCACAGUUUUUUUUAAAGCAUGGUAAACACCAUUUCCCAGGAUGUAAAUCGGUACUAAAAAAAAAGUGCUCCAAAGUAAGAUAUAUUUGGGAAACACAGGGAUAACUAAGGUUAGAUAGGUGUUCUUUAUUGCAGGAAUUCUAAGAGCAUUUAACAAAUUAAUUUACACUGGGAAUUUUCAGUGUGGAGGGUCUGGCUCAUAGCAUUUCACAAACAUUAUACUUCAGAGUCCCAAAGCCUUUAAAUAAAAUGUUAAUGGUAGAAACUCC